UAAAAGAAUGGGAGGACCACACUUAGAGCCGGCAGUGUAUUGGAAAGUGGCCUCACGGAAACAAUAGCAACAGCAGCGUUCCUCAACUUGUACUGUAGCACCAAAUCACGAGCAAAGCUGGUCUCGCAAGAACAAAGCAGAUGCUACGGAAUGUUGCAAUUUUUCUUCAGGCCGAAUUCUUUGACUGGGUCGAUGGACAUUUUUGGACUGGCUAGAGGAUUUAUUGGGUAGGAGCCUUCAGUGAUUCUUUCCUGGCGGGCUGGGCUGGCGAAUCUUCUAGUUUCUUUUGCACGUUUUUUCUUGAUGCAUUCAGCACUUAUUAGAGAGCGUCUCCGUCACAAGUAACAUGUUGUUAUCCCUAGGUCUACGAAUGACCAAGUUGCCAAGGCUUGAUCAGUACUUGUGAGACUGCUGGUCUCCCCUAGCAUCAUUUGCGCAUGCGUUGGCUCUAAGGAACUGGCUGAAUAUAUGGUGCUAUAUGUCCCAUAUGUACUGCAGAUAGUUUACAUCAUUAUGCGUAUUGAUCAACAGCUAGGCAUGUGUACUUAGAUCGAUUUCGGUCCACAUAUGUAAUUUUAGAGAUAAGAAUGCAGAUAGCUUACUCAGAUGGGGGACAUAUACUUUGUCUUCAGCAUUAAUUAUGUACUGCGCGCGACGUGGCGCCUUUCAGUACGUAAAACAUUACUCUAAUUAUUCAGUUCAUUAACCAAGAAAAUUUUCCCGUUACUCUC